GAUGAACGCUAGCGACAGGCUUAACACAUGCAAGUCGCAGGACUGGCGCACGGGUGAGUAACGCGUAUCCAACCUUCCCAUAACUACGGCAUCACCCGUUGAAAGACGGCCUAAUACCGUAUGGUGAUGGAUGGUCAUGCGUCGGAUUGUCUGUGUGGCGGGGUAACGGCCCAGCAAGGAGACGAGCAGUAGGGGUUCUGAGAGGAAGGACCCCCACAUUGGAACUGAGACACGGUCCAAACGCGUACGGGAGUGAGGAGUGAGGAAGAUUGGGCAAUGGGCGAGAGCCUGAACCUGCCAAGUAGCGUGCAGGAUGACGGCCUAUGGGGUGUAAACUGCUUUUAUGUGGGGAUAGGUACCAGAUUAAUAAGGACCGGCUAAGUCCGUGCCAGCAGCCGCGGUAAUAC
rnacentral:rRNA from 1 species